AAAAACUUAGUUAAUAAAUAACAUUAAUUUGUCAAAUUAAAAUAAUUGAUUUACAAUAGUUUUUU
rnacentral:tRNA from 1 species